GACGUAGGGUGCGAGCGUUGUCCGGAUUUAUUGGGCGUAAAGAGCUCGUAGGCGGCUCGUCGCGUCGACCGUGAAAACCCGCGGCUUAACUGCGGGCUUGCGGUUGAUACGGGCGGGCUAGAGUUCGGUAGGGGAGACUGGAAUUCCUGGUGUAGCGGUGAAAUGCGCAGAUAUCAGGAGGAACACCGGUGGCGAAGGCGGCUUGCUGGGCCUUACCUGACGCUGAGGAGCGAAAGCGUGGGGAGCGAACAGG
rnacentral:rRNA from 1 species